AUUGUAAGCACUUAAACACAGGAAUUUAAAGAACACAAGGGGUGGAGAAGGAAGCACAAACCAAUCAGCAUAUCAGAUGCAUUCCAAACAUUUAAAGAAACUUCUGUAAUAUUGGAGGAAGCUGCCCAUGACUACAAAAACAAGAUACAAGAAGGCCUUAAAGCAGUUAUUCAAACUGCUACAAUGUUAAAAGCAAGUAUAGAGAUACAAGUUUGCAAGAUAUUGACAGUACUGUACAGGAAAUUAUUAAAACAAUCAUGAAUAAAGGAAAUGAAAUGAAAUAUUAUGUAGAGAUAAUCUACAAAAGGAAAAAGCAAGCAAAUGAUGUACAAAUGGACGAAUUGAAAACAAUUAUAUCUGAAGUAAACACAAAAUUGAGUUUUCUUAAGCAAUUAUUAAAGAGUGACACAAUGUCAAGUAAUUGAAUUGCCAAAAUAAUUAAAGCAGAUAGAUGUAUUAUUGAUAAAAAAAAAAACCAA
rnacentral:misc_RNA from 1 species